rnacentral:rRNA from 1 species
UACGUAGGGGGCUAGCGUUGUCCGGAAUCAUUGGGCGUAAAGAGCGUGUAGGCGGUCCGGUAAGUCCGCUGUGAAAGUCGGGGGCUCAACCCUCGAAUGCCGGUGGAUACUGUCGGGCUAGAGUGCGGAAGAGGCGAGUGGAAUUCCUGGUGUAGCGGUGAAAUGCGCAGAUAUCAGGAGGAACACCGGUGGCGAAGGCGGGUCGCUGGGCAUGGUCCGACGCUGAGGCGCGAAAGCGUGGGGAGCGAACAGG